UUAGAGUUUGNAUCCUGGCUCAGAUUGAACGCUGGCGGCAGGCCUAACACAUGCAAGUCGAGCGGUAGAGAGAAGCUUGCUUCUCUUGAGAGCGGCGGACGGGUGAGUAAUGCCUAGGAAUCUGCCUGGUAGUGGGGGAUAACGUUCGGAAACGGACGCUAAUACCGCAUACGUCCUACGGGAGAAAGCAGGGGACCUUCGGGCCUUGCGCUAUCAGAUGAGCCUAGGUCGGAUUAGCUAGUUGGUGAGGUAAUGGCUCACCAAGGCGACGAUCCGUAACUGGUCUGAGAGGAUGAUCAGUCACACUGGAACUGAGACACGGUCCAGACUCCUACGGGAGGCAGCAGUGGGGAAUAUUGGACAAUGGGCGAAAGCCUGAUCCAGCCAUGCCGCGUGUGUGAAGAAGGUCUUCGGAUUGUAAAGCACUUUAAGUUGGGAGGAAGGGCAGUUACCUAAUACGUGAUUGUUUUGACGUUACCGACAGAAUAAGCACCGGCUAACUCUGUGCCAGCAGCCGCGGUAAUACAGAGGGUGCAAGCGUUAAUCGGAAUUACUGGGCGUAAAGCGCGCGUAGGUGGUUAGUUAAGUUGGAUGUGAAAUCCCCGGGCUCAACCUGGGAACUGCAUUCAAAACUGACUGACUAGAGUAUGGUAGAGGGUGGUGGAAUUUCCUGUGUAGCGGUGAAAUGCGUAGAUAUAGGAAGGAACACCAGUGGCGAAGGCGACCCAUCCUGGACCUGAUACCUGACACUGAGGUGCGAAAGCGUGGGAGCAA
rnacentral:rRNA from 1 species